rnacentral:antisense_RNA from 1 species
CUUGAUCGACCCGAGCAACAGCGGGGUCUCACGGUCCUGCCCGUAGGUCGCCAGGAGCGCCUGCGCCUC